rnacentral:lncRNA from 1 species
GCCUUUGCCACCCCCGCGUGAUGCGCCGGGGGGCGGGAGGAGCCUGCGGGGGCGGGGGGCGCGUCUCAAGGUCCUCCCUGCACAUCUGGCGCAAUGGGGAGCGUUCGCCUUUCUUUCCCGGGUUUUGUUCUCACAGCUGUGUCCAUUCCGCCCGUGACCCCGCGAGUGAUCCCUGACAGAACGGCCCCCCUCUCCGCCCUGGGGGAGCCGGGAGGAUGUGCAGCCCCAGUCCUCCUGCUCGGCGGAGCCUCGCGCGCGCAGAGCCUAGCGCGAUUCGCGCCCUCAUUACUACUACAAAGCGCGGGCCAGACCAAUCCCCUUUCUAAUGCACCAUUUUCGACUGAGAACAUCAAGAGGCCAGAAACUUCCAAGUCAGCUUGCAGACGCAGACGCCUCCUGGGGUCCUGGCUUUAAGAACCAGAUGCCAACACUCCCGGACAGUUUAUGGCAUCCGGAUCCCUCAAGGGUGCUCAUCUGCAGUUGAGAGUGAUUCUGUGUGAAGAAUACAGAGACAGACGUUCCAUUUCAAAGAAAAAAGAGCAACACGAAGGCCCUCUUUAAGGAGAGAGUAAACAUUCACUUUAGGUAAAAAAUAGUCUUUUACACGCCUGUGCACGGCACACCUCUUUUGCUGUUCACCUUGAGCCCAAGAGUUUGGAAAGGCUGCCCCCAUUUCAGAGAGGAAGAAACGCAGGCACACGUGAAUGACAGACUCCUCUGUGGUGGCCUAGACUCCAGCCAACACUUCCUAGGACAGCCUGCCAUUGUGCAAAGUCACCAUGUAACAAAUGCAGACAUCUCUGAGAUCACCAUGCAGUGAGGAAGUCUAAGCUGGUGGCAUGAAGAGGCCACAUGGAAAGGGCUAAAAAAGGGGCCAGCCUCAGUCAUCCCAGCUGAGCACCUGGCUGGGAAUAAAAGAGGACUCCGUGGAUGUCCAGCCCAGUAAGAUGACCUCAGCCCCAGCCACCAACUGACCAAGCACACAAGACAUCGUGAGGCUGCCUGCUGGAGCCUGGCCAGUGGGACUGUAGAGUAACUCAUUGUCGUGCAGGAACUCCUGGGAUGGUGUUGCCCAGUGACACAAUCCCAGUGUGGCCAUUUCUGAUCCCGAGAAAGCAGUCAGGAGUGGGUGGAUGCAGUUACAGUUCAUCAAGUCCUGCUAGUUCAAGUCAUGAGUCCUGAAUUCUCCAGGAGGAGCCACUAAAGAAAUGCAGAAGCAGGCAAUCCUUGCAAUAAGGCCAGCAAACUGCCAGUGUGAAGGAUGCCCAGGUAACCUGCCCAUGCCAGAACGGCCAGGAGAUGGUGGAACCAGAAUCUAAGCCCACGCCCAUCUGACCUCAAAGUCUGUGCUCCUGAGGUUCGCACCGAGUUGCCUCCUAAGACUUGCUGAAACUGGAUCACGUCCAUUUACCCAUCUCUGAGAGAAAUGCAAGCUUUAAAAAAGGAAAUAUUUACUAUGGAUAUUUUACAAUAGUUCCAAAACAUGAAAGUUUUAAAUAAGAUAUUCUUAACCAUCCUCACCACAUCUUC